UAGGGAAUCUUCCGCAAUGGACGAAAGUCUGACGGAGCGACGCCGCGUGAGUGAUGAAGGUCUUCGGAUCGUAAAACUCUGUUGUUAGGGAAGAAUAAGUAUAAGGCGAAUAACCUUAUACCUUGACGGUACCUAACCAGAAAGCCCCGGCUAACUACGUG
rnacentral:rRNA from 2 species